rnacentral:tRNA from 10 species
GGUGGUCCAUGGCGGUCUACGGCAUCGACUUCAAAGCCGGCGACGUCAUCC